GGCCCGGAGACCCCAUAAGCGAUGCACUGAUGGCGUCCAGCGCUCCUGGUGCAAGUGCAAGCUGAUCACCAUCUGGCGCCGCGGCGAGAUCCUGAGGCGCCGUGUGUUGGUGUAAGCCAGCUGAUGUGUCAUGACUUGUGACGUGGAGGAUAGCAGAGGCGGGAGCGGGAGCGCUGAAGUUUGAAUGACCCACGCACGGGAGCAGUUGCAGCUGAAGCGGUGACCACGUACACGAUCGCGACGUCGAGAGGCGGUUUUCACUGACAAGCUUAUGUAUCACGUUUUUAGCAGUUCUGUGUGUGUCACAGUGUGUGUAAGCUAUUGGUAUAAAUAGCUGGAUGUUUAGUGCGUGAGUUAGUGCUUUGGAGUUGGUUGUAAACUCAUUGAACUCUUUGUGAACAGAGGUGAAAAGGGGAGCCGACGCCCUGUCGGCAGUUUCUGUGUUCAUCCCUUGUUCUUGAUCGAUUAGGCCUAGCCACUGAAAUCUUGCUCGUGAUUGUUGAUCCAUCACUUACAUCUGGUAUCAGAGCCUUCAAUCACUUGCAAAUUGACAUCGAAAUCCAGCCAUGAGUGACCGGAGUGGAGUCGCAGGCGGCGGUGACCGUGGGGAUCGGAUUAAUUAUCCGGCUCUCACAGCGACCAAUUAUACCAGUUGGUCGAUCCGUGUCAAGGCAAUCAUGGAGGAUCAAGGUGUUUGGGAGAUCGUGGAGCCGUCCGGGGAGACGUCGGAGCGGGAUGCGACGGCAGUUGCGGCGGCAAAGGCGAAAGAUCGGAGGGCGAAGGCGUGUCUGCUUCAGUGUUUACCCGACGACAUCCUGAUGCAAGUCGCGGCAAAGAAGACUGGGAAGGAGGUCUGGGACUCGCUGAAGGCGAGAUUUGUAGGCGAGGAGCGGGUGAAGGAGGCUCGUUUGCAGACGCUGAAAAGCGAGUUUGAUGCGCUGAGAAUGAGGGAAGAGGAGACAAUCGAUGUCUAUGCCGGGAAACUGACGAGUAUGUCAGUGAGGUAUGGAAAUUUAGGUGGUUCGUUGGAUGAUGCUGCACUAGUGAAGAAGAUGUUCGACACUGUGCCGGAUCGCUACAUCAACGUAAUCGCCGGGAUCGAGCAGUUCUUUGAUCUGAAGAAACUUGCUUUCGAUGAAGCAGUCGGGAGGUUGAAGGCUUUUGAGGAGCGCACCAAGAAGGGUUCAAGCAGUGCAAGGACUAGUGAUGGUCAAGUGCUGUUGACACAAGCCGAGUGGGAAGCCCGGCAGAAGAAGAUGUCAGGAGAGAACUCUGGUGGUGGGCGAGGUCAUGGCAGCAGCCGAGGACGAGGUCGUGGUCGCGGUGGUGGUAACAGUGGCCGUGGCACUCAAGCUGAUGGAGCCAAGGAUGGCUCAGGGAAGAAGGACAAGAGUCAUGUGAAAUGCUUCAAGUGUCAUCUUUAUGGACAUUAUGCCAACAAAUGUCCAGGAGAAAAGAAGAAGGAAGAAGAAGCUCACCAUGUCAAAAAGGUGGAACAUGAGCCCACUGUACUGCUUGCUGAAUCAGUGGAGUCAGGACAGUCAGUACAGGAGUUAGCUGAAAGGUUACAGGGUCGAGUUGAGGUAUGUCUGAAUGAGAUGCAUCUGAAUCCUGAACUGCAUUUCACUGGCAGUGAGGAGUUGUGUGGUGAUGUGUGGUACCUAGACAAUGGUGCCAGCAACCAUAUGACAGGAGAUCGACAGAAGUUCAGAGAUCUCGACACCACCAUUGGUGGCAAGGUACGCUUUGGUGAUGGUUCUUCAGUAGAAAUUCAUGGUAGAGGCUCUAUUCUGUUUCAAGGCCCUUCAGGAGAUCAGUGGAUCCUAAAUCAUGUCUAUUACAUUCCUAAGUUGAAAAGCAAUCUUGUUAGCUUAGGACAGUUGACUGAAAUAGGAUACAGAAUUGUGCUUGAUGAUGACUUGAUUGAAGUGGUAGAGAAAAGCUCAGGUAGAGUAAUCAUGAGAGUUCAUAGAUCAGUAAACAGAUUGUAUAAAGUUGAUCUAGAGUCUGUUGAGCCAGUGUGUUUUCAAGCAAGUGUUGGUGAUCAGUCAUGGUUAUGGCAUGGUAGGUUGGGCCAUGUCAAUUUCAAAUCAAUUAAAAUGUUGGCUGAAAAGGAAAUGGCUGGGGGGGUACCUCUGAUAAAACACCCUGAUCAAGUGUGUCAUUCUUGUUUGUCAGCAAAACAAACAAGAAAGUCUUUUCCUCAGUGUGCCAUGUGGAGGGCAGAUGAGCCUUUGGAACUGGUACAUGUUGAUCUGUGUGGACCUAUAACACCUGAGACAGCAGGGGGUAACAAGUAUUUCAUGUUGAUAGUUGAUGACAGUACAAGGUGGAUGUCAGCCUUCUUUCUGAAAACCAAAGACCAAGCUGUAUCAGCUUUUGUCAGGUACAAGGCAGUAGCAGAAAACAGCAGUGGCAGCAAAAUUAAGGUGGUGAGAUCUGAUAGGGGUGGUGAAUUCUUAGCAACAGCUUUUAGAGAAGUGUGUGAACAAGCUGGGAUUAUGAGACAAUUCGCUGCACCCUACUCACCACAACAGAAUGGAGUUGUUGAGAGAAGGAACAGGACUGUCAUGGAGAUGGCAAGAUCUCUUCUGAAAAGCAUGAAGGUUCCUGGAUGUUUUUGGGCAGAAGCUGUGAAACAUUCAGUUUAUUUGUUGAAUAGAUUGCCAACCAAAGCCAUGGGUUUGAGAACACCAUUUGAAGGCUGGACUGGCAGGAAACCCCAGUUGGGACAUCUCAGAGUGUUUGGUUGUAGAGCAAAUGUUAGACCUGCAGAGCCUCAUCUAAAGAAACUAGAUGACAGGAGUGUUGGCAUGGUUUAUUUUGGAGUGGAAGAUGGCAGCAAAGCUCAUAGACUGUACAAUCCACAAACAAAUAAAAUUAUAGUCAGCAGGGAUGUCAUUUUUGAGGAAGCAGUGUCAUGGAAGUGGGAAUCAGAGUUUGGUGAGAACUCAGAUUUCAUUGUUGAGGAUAAUUCAGAAUUAUUCUCUCAACCCUGGACUGGUGGACAAGAUGUGGAAAAUCAUCAUGGAGUUCAAAACUCAGGGGGAGUUGACAAUCUUGGUGGAGUUCAAAAUGAUGAUCACACAUUUGAUGUAGCAGCAGUUCCAGUAGAAUCAGGAGAAACCUCACAGACCACCACUGUUCAUGGUCAGACAACAGAAACAGAUGUUUCAGUUGAUGCAGGAGCAGAUCAUGAUUAUGCAGAGAUGGAUGUUGAUGGGACAAUUGACAUUGAUGAUGGUCCUGUGAGAUUCAGAAACCUGAAUGAUGUGUAUCAAGACAGUGUGGAAGUGGAGUUAACUUCUGACACAGAGAUUGAUGCACUAUUAACAGUGAUGGAGGAACCAAACUGUUAUAAAAAUGCAGCUGGUGACAGAGAUUGGGUGGCAGCAAUGGACAGUGAGAUCCAAUCCAUCAAUAAGAACAAGACUUGGGAAUUGGUGGAGCUACCAGCUGGUCACAAACCAAUUGGGUUGAAGUGGGUUUACAAGUUGAAGAAAAAUGCAGAAGGAGAGGUGGUGAAGCACAAAGCUAGGUUAGUUGCAAAAGGCUACGUGCAAAAGCAUGGUAUUGAUUUUGAGGAGGUUUUUGCUCCAGUUGCAAGACUUGAUACUGUGAGAUUGAUCUUAGCCAUUGCAGCAAACAGAAAUUGGGAAGUGCAUCACCUUGAUGUCAAAACUGCCUUUCUCAAUGGUGAACUUGCAGAAGAUGUGUAUGUAUCUCAACCAGAAGGUUUUGUGAAGAAAGGAAAAGAGCAGAUGGUGCUAAAGUUGAACAAAGCUCUAUAUGGACUGAAACAAGCUCCAAGAGCUUGGAACAUCAAGCUUGACAGCAGUCUAAAGAAACUUGGUUUCAAAAAAUGCCUGACUGAACCUGCAGUAUAUAUCAGAGGACAUGGACUGUCAGCCUUGAUGAUUGGUGUAUAUGUGGAUGACUUGAUAGUGACUGGUGGAAAACUGGCAGAAAUUGUAGCCUUUAAGCAGGAGAUGACCUCAGUGUUUGAUAUGAGUGAUCUGGGAAAACUUUCAUUCUAUCUGGGUAUUGAGGUGGAGCAGAAAGAAGACUACAUAGCUAUCAAGCAAACAGGUUAUGCCAAGAAAGUGUUAAGUCAGUUUGGAAUGACUGACUGCAACUCAACCAAGUGCCCAAUGGAUCCAGGAGUGAAAUUAGAUGCAGAUAAACAAGGAGAAAGAGUUGAUGCAACUCAUUUCAGGAGAAUUAUUGGUUGCCUGAGAUAUUUGCUUCAUACUAGGCCAGAUCUUGCUUUCUCAGUUGGGAUGACUAGUAGGUUCAUGGAAAAACCAACAGUCAAGCAUCUAAAUGCAGUUAAGCAAAUCCUGAGAUAUUUGAAGGGUACUUUGAAUUAUGGGUUAGUUUAUACCCAAGAAAAGAAGGAAGAACUGUUAGUGGGUUACACUGACAGUGAUGUUGGAGGUGAUGUUGUGAAUAGGAAAAGCACUGGAGGGAUGGCCUUUUAUGUCAAUGAAAGUCUGGUGACUUGGAAUUCACACAAAGAGAAAACAGUGGCAUUGUCAUCUUGUGAAGCUGAGUUUAUGGCAGCUACAGCAGCAGCUAAGCAAGCUUUGUGGCUCAGAAAUCUUUUGAGUGAGCUCACUGGUACUCAGCCUAAAGUAGUGACACUGAUGGUGGACAACAAUUCUGCAAUAGCUCUAAUGAAGAAUCCAGUGUUUCAUGGCAGAAGCAAACAUAUUGAUAUCAAGUAUCAUUUCAUCCGAGAAUGUGUGGAGCGUGGACAGAUUGUUGUGAAGAAAGUUGGCACUCUGGAUCAGAAGGCUGACUCUCUGACAAAGCCUUUGGCAGCAGUGAAGUUUGCUGUAAUGAAACACCUGUUAGGUGUUCGGGAGCUUGAGGAUCAUCAGGCUUAAGGGGGAGAUUGUUGGUGUAAGCCAGCUGAUGUGUCAUGACUUGUGACGUGGAGGAUAGCAGAGGCGGGAGCGGGAGCGCUGAAGUUUGAAUGACCCACGCACGGGAGCAGUUGCAGCUGAAGCGGUGACCACGUACACGAUCGCGACGUCGAGAGGCGGUUUUCACUGACAAGCUUAUGUAUCACGUUUUUAGCAGUUCUGUGUGUGUCACAGUGUGUGUAAGCUAUUGGUAUAAAUAGCUGGAUGUUUAGUGCGUGAGUUAGUGCUUUGGAGUUGGUUGUAAACUCAUUGAACUCUUUGUGAACAGAGGUGAAAAGGGGAGCCGACGCCCUGUCGGCAGUUUCUGUGUUCAUCCCUUGUUCUUGAUCGAUUAGGCCUAGCCACUGAAAUCUUGCUCGUGAUUGUUGAUCCAUCACUUACA
rnacentral:lncRNA from 1 species